rnacentral:tRNA from 1 species
GGCGAGGUAGCAAAGUGGUAAUGCGCUGGUCUGCAAAACCGGUAUGCGCGGGUUCAAUUCCCGCCCUCGCCUCCA